rnacentral:rRNA from 13 species
GACCUCAAAUCAGGUAGGACUACCCGCUGAACUUAAGCAUAUCAUA